rnacentral:lncRNA from 1 species
UGGCUGCUAAAUUAUAUUUUAAAUCUACUUAUCUGUCAACGGAGAAUUCUGUCAUUUAAUUCCAAGUUUUGAUCCUUCAUGUCGAAAUCAAUCUCUUCGUAUUUUAUUUGUUUUACAGUUACCUAUAUCAUCGGUGGCUGAAGAUAAAUAAGGUAAACAGAUUUUUUUUAUUUUCAUAUUGUAAUAACUAAAAUCUUAUUAAUCAAGUACGGUGUCGGUGUGAG